AGCAGUGUGGUAUAGUGGUGAGAACCUGGGCUUGUAACCAUAAGGUUGCUGGUUCGAUUCCCCACUGGGCUA